rnacentral:rRNA from 1 species
CCUACGGGGGGCAGCAGUGGGGAAUAUUGGACAAUGGGCGCAAGCCUGAUCCAGCAAUGCCGCGUGCGUGAUGAAGGCCUUCGGGUUGUAAAGCGCUUUCGCCCACGACGAUGAUGACGGUAGUGGGAGAAGAAGCCCCGGCUAACUCCGUGCCAGCAGCCGCGGUAAUACGGAGGGGGCUAGCGUUGUUCGGAAUUACUGGGCGUAAAGGGUGCGUAGGCGGCUGUCCAAGUCGGGUGUGAAAGCCCCGGGCUCAACCCGGGAUGUGCAUCCGAGACUGGGCGGCUAGAGUUCGGGAGAGGUGAGUGGAAUUCCCAGUGUAGAGGUGAAAUUCGUAGAUAUUGGGAAGAACACCGGUGGCGAAGGCGGCUCACUGGACCGACACUGACGCUGAGGCACGAAAGCGUGGGGAGCAAACAGGAUUAGAUACCCUUGUAGUC